GAUGAAGAACGCAGCGAAAUGCGAUAAGUAGUGUGAAUUGCAGAAUUCAGUGAAUCAUCGAAUCUUUGAACGCACAUUGCGCCCCUUGGUAUUCCAUGGGGCAUGCCUGUUCGAGCGUCAUUUGUACCUUCAAGCUCUGCUUGGUGUUGGGUGUUUGUCUCGCCUCUGCGUGUAGACUCGCCUUAAAACAAUUGGCAGCCGGCGUAUUGAUUUCGGAGCGCAGUACAUCUCGCGCUUUGCACUCAUAACGACGACGUCCAAAAGUACAUUUUUACACUCUUGACCUCGGAUCAGGAAGGGAUACCCGCUGAACUUAAGCAUAUCAAUAAGCGGAGGA
rnacentral:misc_RNA from 1 species